rnacentral:rRNA from 1 species
AAACCGUUCAGGGGUAAACCUGAGAAACCCGAAAGUUCGAAAGGAGAGAUUCACCGCGACUCGUGCCGUCGGCGUGGGUGCGUACGGACGUCGUACGAGUCUCGACUCGUACGGGCCGAACGCACUCCGUCUCUUGACGCGCGAUCGCGUGCACUUCUCUCCCUGUAGGACGUCGCGACCCGUUGGGCGUCGGUCUACGAUCGGCGGUGGAGUCCGAACGACGGUCGCUUAAACGACCGCUCGAUCGAACCCGCCGUAUCCGGCCGACUCGCUCGACGGUAGAAGAGAGAGGCGCGGGGCCGCGACCAGUUCGCGUCCGGCUCGUCGCAAGCAUUGUUCGGCUUAACGACCCGGUGUACUCGGCGUCCUCGCGACUCCGGUCCCGGAUCCGAGCUACUGUUGGCGACGAUGUCCUCGGACAGACUCCGUAUACACGCCUGUCAGCGACGCUAUCGCUUUGGGUACUUUCAGGACCCGUCUUGAAACACGGACCAAGGAGUCUAGCAUGUGCGCGAGUCUUAAGGACUCCGUUACUAAACCUAAAGGCGAAAUGAAAGUGAAGGUCCGCCUCGGCGCGCGACCUAGGGAAGACGGGGACGUGCUCUCCGAGCACGUCCUCGGCACUCCCGGGGCGUCUCGAUCUCAUCGCGAGAUGAGGCGCACCCAGAGCGUACACGCU